rnacentral:rRNA from 1 species
UGAGUGAUGAAGGCCUUCGGGUUGUAAAGCUCUUUUGUCCGGGAAGAUAAUGACGGUACCACAAGAAUAAGCCCCGGCUAACUUCGUGCCAGCAGCCGCGGUAAUACUAAGGGGGCUAGCGUUGUUCGGAAUUACUGGGCGUAAAGGGUGCGUAAGCGGGUCUUUAAGUCAGGUGUGAAAUCCUGGAGCUCAACUCCAGAUCUGCCUUUGAUACUGAAGAUCUUGAGUUCGGGAGAGGUGAGUGGAAUUGCGAGUGUAGAGGUGAAAUUCGUAUAUAUUCGCAAGAACACCAGUGGCGAAGGCGGCUCACUGGCCCGAUACUGACGCUGAGGCACGAAAGCGUGGGGAGCAAACAGGAUUAAAUACCCUGGUAGUCCACGCCAUAAACGAUGAAUGCUAGCCGUUAGUGGGUUUACUCCCUAGUGGCGCAGCUAACGCUUUAAGCAUUCCGCCUGGGGAGUACGGUCGCAAGAUUAAAACUCAAAGGAAUUGACG